rnacentral:rRNA from 1 species
UACGUAGGCAGCGAGCGUUGUUCGGAGUUACUGGGCGUAAAGGGUGUGUAGGCGGUUUUCUAAGUUUGGUGUGAAAUCUCCCGGCUCAACCGGGAGGGUGCGCCGAAAACUGGGAGACUAGAGUGCGGGAUGGGAGAGUAGAAUUCCUGGUGUAGCGGUGAAAUGCGUAGAUAUCAGGAGGAACACCGGUGGUGUAGACGGCUUUCUGGACCAUAACUGACGCUGAGACACGAAAGCGUGGGUAGCAAACAGG